rnacentral:lncRNA from 1 species
CUGUUUUAAGCCCCGUUCUCUUGCAGCUCUUCGGUACUGCAAACUUAACCGCUAAUGGCGCUGUGGGUGGAGAAACGUUUGUUAGGCUUGUUACAUCAUGGUUGCAGGAUGGCUGCUACAGCUCUGGACAUCACAUCAAAAUAUGGCAGAAGCUAAAGCAGGAAGACAGAGAAGGAGGCAAGACAGCUUUAUUCACUUGUGGCUCUCAUAUGAAGAAUAAAGAUAUUUCUCGAAA